rnacentral:rRNA from 2 species
GGGUUGUGAGGUUAAGCGACUAAGCGUACACGGUGGAUGCCCUGGCAGUCAGAGGCGAUGAAGGACGUGCUAAUCUGCGAAAAGCGUCGGUAAGGUGAUAUGAACCGUUAUAACCGGCGAUGUCCGAAUGGGGAAACCCAGUGUGAUUCGUCACACUAUCGUUAACUGAAUACAUAGGUUAACGAGGCGAACCGGGGGAACUGAAACAUCUAAGUACCCCGAGGAAAAGAAAUCAACCGAGAUUCCCCCAGUAGCGGCGAGCGAACGGGGAGCAGCCCAGAGUCUGAAUCAGCUUGUGUGUUAGUGGAACGGUCUGGAAAGUCCGACGGUACAGGGUGAUAGUCCCGUACACCAAAAUGCACAGGCUGUGAACUCGAAGAGUAGGGCGGGACACGUGGUAUCCUGUCUGAAUAUGGGGGGACCAUCCUCCAAGGCUAAAUACUCCUGACUGACCGAUAGUGAACCAGUACCGUGAGGGAAAGGCGAAAAGAACCCCGGCGAGGGGAGUGAAAAAGAACCUGAAACCGUGUACGUACAAGCAGUGGGAGCACCUUCGGGUGUGACUGCGUACCUUUUGUAUAAUGGGUCAGCGACUUAUAUUCUGUAGCAAGGUUAACCGUAUAGGGGAGCCGCAGGGAAACCGAGUCUUAACUGGGCGUUAAGUUGCAGGGUAUAGACCCGAAACCCGGUGAUCUAGCCAUGGGCAGGUUGAAGGUUGGGUAACACUAACUGGAGGACCGAACCGACUAAUGUUGAAAAAUUAGCGGAUGACUUGUGGCUGGGGGUGAAAGGCCAAUCAAACCGGGAGAUAGCUGGUUCUCCCCGAAAGCUAUUUAGGUAGCGCCUCGUGAACUCAUCUUCGGGGGUAGAGCACUGUUUCGGCUAGGGGGUCAUCCCGACUUACCAACCCGAUGCAAACUACGAAUACCGAAGAAUGUUAUCACGGGAGACACACGGCGGGUGCUAACGUCCGUCGUGAAGAGGGAAACAACCCAGACCGCCAGCUAAGGUCCCAAAGUCAUGGUUAAGUGGGAAACGAUGUGGGAAGGCACAGACAGCCAGGAUGUUGGCUUAGAAGCAGCCAUCAUUUAAAGAAAGCGUAAUAGCUCACUGGUCGAGUCGGCCUGCGCGGAAGAUGUAACGGGGCUAAACCAUGCACCGAAGCUGCGGCAGCGACACUAUGUGUUGUUGGGUAGGGGAGCGUUCUGUAAGCCUGCGAAGGUGACCUGUGAGGGUUGCUGGAGGUAUCAGAAGUGCGAAUGCUGACAUAAGUAACGAUAAAGCGGGUGAAAAGCCCGCUCGCCGGAAGACCAAGGGUUCCUGUCCAACGUUAAUCGGGGCAGGGUGAGUCGACCCCUAAGGCGAGGCCGAAAGGCGUAGUCGAUGGGAAACAGGUUAAUAUUCCUGUACUUGGUGUUACUGCGAAGGGGGGACGGAGAAGGCUAUGUUAGCCGGGCGACGGUUGUCCCGGUUUAAGCAUGUAGGCUGGUUAUCCAGGCAAAUCCGGAUAAUCAAGGCUGAGGUGUGAUGACGAGGCACUACGGUGCUGAAGUAACAAAUGCCCUGCUUCCAGGAAAAGCCUCUAAGCAUCAGGUAACACGAAAUCGUACCCCAAACCGACACAGGUGGUCAGGUAGAGAAUACCAAGGCGCUUGAGAGAACUCGGGUGAAGGAACUAGGCAAAAUGGUGCCGUAACUUCGGGAGAAGGCACGCUGGUGUGUAGGUGAAGCCCCUGCGGGUGGAGCUGAGACCAGUCGAAGAUACCAGCUGGCUGCAACUGUUUAUUAAAAACACAGCACUGUGCAAACACGAAAGUGGACGUAUACGGUGUGACGCCUGCCCGGUGCCGGAAGGUUAAUUGAUGGGGUUAUCCGUAAGGAGAAGCUCUUGAUCGAAGCCCCGGUAAACGGCGGCCGUAACUAUAACGGUCCUAAGGUAGCGAAAUUCCUUGUCGGGUAAGUUCCGACCUGCACGAAUGGCGUAAUGAUGGCCAGGCUGUCUCCACCCGAGACUCAGUGAAAUUGAACUCGCUGUGAAGAUGCAGUGUACCCGCGGCAAGACGGAAAGACCCCGUGAACCUUUACUAUAGCUUGACACUGAACAUUGAGCCUUGAUGUGUAGGAUAGGUGGGAGGCUUUGAAGCGUGGACGCCAGUCUGCGUGGAGCCAACCUUGAAAUACCACCCUUUAAUGUUUGAUGUUCUAACGUUGGCCCCUUAUCGGGGUUGCGGACAGUGUCUGGUGGGUAGUUUGACUGGGGCGGUCUCCUCCCAAAGCGUAACGGAGGAGCACGAAGGUUAGCUAAUCCUGGUCGGACAUCAGGAGGUUAGUGCAAUGGCAUAAGCUAGCUUGACUGCGAGCGUGACGGCGCGAGCAGGUGCGAAAGCAGGUCAUAGUGAUCCGGUGGUUCUGAAUGGAAGGGCCAUCGCUCAACGGAUAAAAGGUACUCCGGGGAUAACAGGCUGAUACCGCCCAAGAGUUCAUAUCGACGGCGGUGUUUGGCACCUCGAUGUCGGCUCAUCACAUCCUGGGGCUGAAGUAGGUCCCAAGGGUAUGGCUGUUCGCCAUUUAAAGUGGUACGCGAGCUGGGUUUAGAACGUCGUGAGACAGUUCGGUCCCUAUCUGCCGUGGGCGCUGGAGAAUUGAGGGGGGCUGCUCCUAGUACGAGAGGACCGGAGUGGACGCAUCACUGGUGUUCGGGUUGUCAUGCCAAUGGCACUGCCCGGUAGCUAAAUGCGGAAGAGAUAAGUGCUGAAAGCAUCUAAGCACGAAACUUGCCCCGAGAUGAGUUCUCCCUGAGACUUUAAGUCUCCUGAAGGAACGUUAAAGACGAUGACGUUGAUAGGCCGGGUGUGUAAGCGCAGCGAUGCGUUGAGCUAACCGGUACUAAUGAACCGUGAGGCUUAACCUUACAACGCCGAAG